UCCGAUCCAUAAUAAGUGUCG
rnacentral:miRNA from 1 species